UACAGAGGUGGCAAGCGUUGUUCGGAAUUACUGGGCGUAAAGGGCGCGUAGGCGGCCCGUCAAGUCCCGUGUGAAAGCCCCCGGCUCAACCGGGGAACGGCGCGGGAAACUAGCAGGCUUGAGUUCGGGAGAGGGAAGCGGAAUUCCGGGUGUAGCGGUGAAAUGCGCAGAUAUCCGGAGGAACACCGGUGGCGAAGGCGGCGACCUGGGUCGAGACUGACGCUGAUACACGAAAGCGUGGGGAGCAAACAGG
rnacentral:rRNA from 1 species